rnacentral:rRNA from 1 species
AACGAACGCUGGCGGCAUGCCUAACACAUGCAAGUCGAACGAAGCCUUCGGGCUGAGUGGCGCACGGGUGCGUAACGCGUGGGAAUCUGCACCUGGGUUCGGGAUAACAGUUAGAAAUGACUGCUAAUACCGGAUGAUGUCUCUGGACCAAAGAUUUAUCGCCCAAGGAUGAGCCCGCGUAGGAUUAGGUAGUUGGUGGGGUAAUGGCCCACCAAGGCGACGAUCCUUAGCUGGUCUGAGAGGAUGAUCAGCCACACUGGGACUGAGACACGGCCCAGACUCCUACGGGAGGCAGCAGUGGGGAAUAUUGGACAAUGGGCGAAAGCCUGAUCCAGCAAUGCCGCGUGAGUGAUGAAGGCCUUAGGGUUGUAAAGCUCUUUUACCAGGGAUGAUAAUGACAGUACCUGGAGAAUAAGCUCCGGCUAACUCCGUGCCAGCCGCCGCUGUAA